ACGGGGUGCAGCAGGCGCGAAAACUUCGCACUGCGCGAAAACGUGACGAGGGAAUCCCAAGUGUAUGCACGUAAGUGUAUACUGUUUCUCUGUCUAAAAAGCAGAGAGAGUAAGAGCUGGGUAAGACGGGUGCCAGCCGCCGCGGUAAUACCUGCAGCUCGAGUGGUAACCGCUAUUGUUGGGCCUAAAGCGUCCGUAGCCGGUCUGGUAAAUAUCUGGGUAAAUAGUGAGGCUUAACUUCACGAAUUCCGGAUAGACUGCCAGACUCGGGACCGGGGGAGGUCAGAGGUACUCCAGGGGUAGCGGUGAAAUGUUGUAAUCCUUGGAGGACCACCGGUAGCGAAGGCGUCUGACUAGAACGGGUCCGACGGUGAGGGACGAAGCCCUGGGGCGCAAACGGGAUUAGAUACCCCGGUAGUCCAGGGUGUAAACGAUGUGGGCUUUGUAUUGGGGGCCCUACGUGGGCGCCCAGUGCCGUAGAGAAGUUGUUUAGCCCACCGCCUGGGAAGUACGGUCGCAAGGCUGAAACUUAAAGGAAUUGGCGGGGGAGCAC
rnacentral:rRNA from 1 species